AUGGAUACUAGUUGGGUUCGUUUCCACUCAGCCACAAUGGGAACUCCGGUAGCCGCCCAUUUUCAGGUGGACUUGACCUCCACAGCCCAUGUGACACGGACAAAGUGAGGCUCAGGUAUAUGGAAAUGCGUGGAAUCUGCAAGGCUGGAGACACACGCCAUCCAGCCAUAGUCCAGUCUCCCUUGAGCUCCUUUAAGCUCUUUGCUAGCUGGCUCCAUUCACACUCAUGAGCGUGGGUGCCCACAGAGCCUGGAAGUCAUAUUAUGCCUCUUUUAUAGGUUAAUAAACGGAGCCUGAAGAGGUUAAGAGGUUUCCCCAAGGUCGCCCAGCUGCCAGGCAGGCACCAGACUGACCAUGUGUUGUGACAGGCGCUGGAGUGGUGGCUGGUGAUUUCGGGUGUUAGGCAGAGGCCCCUUAUGGGCUGGAAACGCGGUGGGGCUGGGCUGGCCCCGGCUGCCCCUGCAUUGCUCUCAAGUCCUUGCUUUCUCCCUAAUGCACGCACCUCAUUUGAGCUAUUCUGCUCCACUGCACACACCCAGAGGGCCGUGACUAAUGCUGCUGGAGCUGGUACCUCUGGGGAAAGAAAAGAACGAGCUUUGGGGGAAGACGGGCCGCAUCAGCUGGAAAUAAAGAACUGGUUUGUGUGGCUGUGGAGGCUGGCACGUCCAAAAUCGGUUAGACCGGCAGGCUGGAGACCCAGGAAGAGGCGACGUUGAAGUUCAGGUGAAAUAACACAACGUUUGGGAUUUCCUUGGAAGUUACUCCAGCAAAAGGAAAGGUGAGGAUAGUGAAACCACUGCGGCCAAAUGCUCAUGCGUGGUGAGUAUGGGUGAUGCGCACGGGCCCACGGCCCUUCUACCGUCGCGUGUGUUCAGAAACUUUCAUCGAUAAACAUUAAAAUAAGUAGAUCCAUUAAGUAUUAAAAUUUAAAGUUUACAUGUGCAUAUAGAUAUAAAUAUAAAUAAAUCUAUUAAAAUAUUGUUCUGAUUUUCCUUAUCAAAAAUCUUAUAUAGUUUGAAUUUGUGUCGGUAAAAUUGCAUUGGUUGAAAUUCGUUUAGGCGUCAUUCAAGUGCGCUUUAUAGUUUCUUUUCUCCAAGACUAAGGUCACACGCUGCCUAGUUUGUUACCUUGAUAAACCCCAGUGUUCUCUUUACAUCCCCAUCUGCCCACUAGGAUGUAGAUUUCAUUGGGCAAACUAUUUCUUUGUUCGCUGAUGAACCCAGCACAGAAGAAGGUCCGAGAGAAGAAAAACUCACUGUAACAUAACAGGUGGACCUUCCCAGCCAUUAGACCACUAGGGGCUAGAAGCUGGCAGUAAGGGCUCUGGCUCUUUUUCUGCUUUGAAGAAAGAAUUCAAAAAUAGUGAGUAAAGUGUUUGUUAGGAGAGAAGGCUGAGAAAGAGGGAGAG